CGGAAAGACCCCGUGAACCUUUACUAUAGCUUGACACUGAACAUUGAGCCUUGAUGUGUAGGAUAGGUGGGAGGCUUUGAAGUGUGGACGCCAGUCUGCAUGGAGCCGACCUUGAAAUACCACCCUUUAAUGUUUGAUGUUCUAACGUUGACCCGUGAUCCGGGUUGCGGACAGUGUCUGGUGGGUAGUUUGACUGGGGCGGUCUCCUCCUAAAGAGUAACGGAGGAGCACGAA
rnacentral:rRNA from 1 species